CCUACGGGGGGCAGCAGUGAGGAAUAUUGGUCAAUGGACGAGAGUCUGAACCAGCCAAGUAGCGUGAAGGAUGACUGCCCUAUGGGUUGUAAACUUCUUUUAUAUGGGAAUAAAAUGUUCCACGUGUGGGAUUUUGUAUGUACCAUAUGAAUAAGGAUCGGCUAACUCCGUGCCAGCAGCCGCGGUAAUACGGAGGAUCCGAGCGUUCUCCGGAUUUAUUGGGUUUAAAGGGAGCGUAGGUGGAUUGUUAAGUCAGUUGUGAAAGUUUGCGGCUCAACCGUAAAAUUGCAGUUGAAACUGGCAGUCUUGAGUACAGUAGAGGUGGGCGGAAUGCGUGGUGUAGCGGUGAAAUGCUUAGAUAUCACGAAGAACUCCGAUUGCGAAGGCAGUUCACUGGACUGCAACUGACACUGAGGCUCGAAAGUGUGGGUAUCAAACAGGAUUAGAUACCCUUGUAGUC
rnacentral:rRNA from 1 species